GCCUGGGUGGCUCAUUCAGUAAGCAUGCGACUUUAGCUCAGGUCAUGAUCUCGCAGGGUCGUGAGUUCAAGCCCCGCCUCGGGCU
rnacentral:tRNA from 1 species